rnacentral:misc_RNA from 1 species
UCCUAGUUAACCUAGGCAGUCUCGCUAGAGUGCCCACCAUUACAUGUUGGCAACUAACGACAAGGGUUGCGCUCGUUGCGGGACUUAACCCAACACCUCACGGCACGAGCUGACGACAGCCAUGCAGCACCUGUGCACAUGUCUCUUGCGAGAAAGCUGCAUUUCUGCAGCGAUCAUGUGCAUGUCAAGUCCAGGUAAGGUUCUUCGCGUUGCAUCGAAUUAAACCACAUGCUCCACUGCUUGUGCGGGUCCCCGUCAAUUCUUUUGAGUUUUACCCUUGCGAGCGUACUCCCCAGGCGGUAUACUUAACGCGUUCGCUUCGGUACUGUCAGGGUUGAGCCUAACAACACCAAGUAUACAUCGUUUAAGGCAAGGACUAC